GGCGAUUCUCGGGUGAUGCUCCCCAGAAUCAGGCUUCCUCCUCGCUGGAUCCGGGUGCAUCACCCAAGAACCGCU
rfam:Myotis davidii contig228566, whole genome shotgun sequence.